UGUGUGUUGGGGGGGGGGAUCUCAAUACAAGCUAUUGAUCAGGAACUAAAUGACCUUGUGUACACAGUGACUGUGGAAACCAACCAAGAGAUGCGGAAGAAGUUACAUCAUUCAAAGGUCUUGGUGGGUUUAACAUGGCAACAUUGAGCGUAAUUAAUCUCUGCUCAUAUUCCACUCCUACUUGGCACAGGAAGUCAAUUACGAACACCUUGCGACCUCUGGCCCUUCCUUUUGCACAUGAACUACUACUCUCAGGUACCACGGCGUAUCACAGCUAACUAGAGCCUAGGGGGGCCCACGUUCUCUUGGUGCGCAAACAAACAUUGUUUACACGAAUUACAUGCUAUAGGAGAUGAUUAACUACCCAGCUGAACCCAGGCUCUGCUUUGGCAGCGGUCCCACAACACAAUUUAUGAGGUUUUGUGCAUUUGUGUGUGCGUGGAUCGGGGAGGAGGUAUGGGGGUUAAUAGAAUAAUGAGACUGCAAAGCUGUGAAGCCAUCAAGCAGGAAUUAGCAGCAGUAAAUGAACUGUUCUUUUGUUUGAGGCCGUUUGAUUACUUGGGUGGCAGCAGAGGGUGUGAUUUCAUUCACAAUUCUAAUCCUAAUCUUGUUAUAGUAUACCCCCCCUCAACACACACACAGACACAUCCACUCACAGGUAAGUGUGUGUACUUGUGCCUGUGUGUGUGUUAAGUAGGUGAAUGAUGGAUAUAUCUCGUUGGCUGGCUUACCUUAUCAGCAGAAGGGCCAGUAUGGGUUUCAUCAGGAGGUUGAUGAAGCUGGAGAUACAGGUAAGCCAGGCAGCUUUUGAGGUAGGGAACACACACACAAAACAAGAUUGGCUUGUCUUCACUGCAAAAUAAAUGGUGUUGUUGAAGCUGAGAUAGUCAACCAAGAAAAGGGGAGACUGCUUUUAAGGUGCAGCCCACUUGAUAAGGGCUCCGCUGUGAUUAAAAAAGGUAAAAGGAAUAAAGGGAAACAGAGCUUAAUGCAGUCGUCACUGAUUGAAAAACGUCAAGAACUUUCUUAAGUGGUAUGCUUAGUAAUUGCGGUAGCAUGGUCUACAAGAUAUGGCUUUAGACAGAUUUAGCUCUGAAGUGAUUGGCUGAUUAAUCUAUUUCAUGAACUGCAAAAAUUAAUCAACUUGUAUAGUAAUGUAUAUAUGUAUAUAAUCAGUGUAUAUGCAUUGUAUUUAUUUUCAACCGUUCCUUCUCAAGUUUGACAUUGUUCUCGAUCAGGUUGGGAUCUGGCGGUUCUGCAAGUUGCUGCUGCAGUACUUGAGACAUCUUCUGGGCUGUUUUAUACAAAAGGUGCCAUUUGAGAACAUCUAGAGCUGCCAAGGCCAAAUGCUGAAAGCUGAAAUCCAAAGUGUAGACAGCAAAAAGGGAUACGGAGGCCUGGCCAGGGGAAUUGGGAGGAGUGGAAAAUGCUGGAUCCCAGGCCCACAGUGCCCAUCACUGUCACUCAUGUCUGGCAGUACAACGUAUCCUGGUGACAUGUAGAGAUCCCCUGAGUCUGAAAUGGGACAAGAGACCCCUCCAACCCACCCACACACCUCCCUCCCACACAGCUUCCAGUUCCCCUCAUCUGUUCUGCCCAGUCCUGCUGUUUUCAUCAUCAUCCCAACUUCCUUUCUACUAUCUCUUUUCAGAAGGACCAGUCACCCAUUUACAAAAGCAACAUUGUCAGACAGAAAUGAACUAAUCACUGCCAUCAGCGGAUUUGCUUACAGAAAUUAAUGCUGUUUUUUCCAGUGGACUACAUGCCAAGUUGCAUCACUAACCAAUUGAAAACGUUUGAAGUAAGAGUCCAAAAUGAAGAAAGCUAGCAAAUAAGUUGCAAGUGCCUAUCUGUUUUAACUUACUGUCCCGUUUGCAACCAACAGUGGAAGUAGUCACUACAUCACUGCGCUUUUAGCACCACACACUCUGCAAAGACACCCACGUGUCACUUUCUCAACUGAUCAACCACUAGAGGGAUUUUACUUUUUCUUCUUCACCUAAAUACCUCCCUUUGGAGCUCUUACUUCCAAUCUCACCAGCUUGUCCUGCAGUGCUCUCAUCUCACGCAUGUACCUGUGAACAAGUGUGCCUGUACACAUGCGGUGGCACACCUCGGUUAGAGCAGCAGUGAUGUUCAUUCUGGUUGAUCAGUUUCUCUGGCCUUAUUAGAGAACCACUAGAUUGAAGGACCCAGACCUGACCCUUAAGAGCGGGGAAAAAAAGGAGGGAAGACAGCUGGGGUGUCCAGCCAGAGUAAGACCAGAGUGAACAGCCACAUUAUCACAUUUCCUGCCGCUAUUUUCCAAUUAGCUCACUAUCGAUCAGCUUGCAAGCCUCUUGACGCACUGUGCCGACUGGGCUUGAAGCCACUUUCUGUCCAAGCUCUGUCGAGAUUUCACCACACAGUGGAGGUGGACAAGCAUGUUUGCCUGGGAAGCCAUCCAGGUAUGCUGGGACAGCGACGAGUUGAAUCCAGCUGUCAUGGGCGCUUCAUCCAUUACUACUUGUCUUCAUAGUGAA